rnacentral:lncRNA from 1 species
AUGGAAACUCAUGCACCUGACUUUCCUCUAGCUUCCUCACACCCAAGUCUGAGCAGACAGAAGGCAGCAUCAUCAAGAGACUCUCUUUCAGCAUGCAACAGCAAAUACCUCACUGUUCCUCGAAACCAUCCUUCCUUGCACAGCUGCUGUGUCAAUGGAUCUUUUGAAGCAGCUAACCAUAUGGAGUCCUACAGCAGUUCACCUCCUUGUUCUCUCUUCUGCAUUUGUUUGAGCAUCUUAUUUCUGCCCACGCUUGCCAGUAAGAGAGGAGAGGAUAUUUGGAGUUCAUUUUCUCUAGAGUCAACUAAUGCAUUGUGUUGUGCCAGCAACCAGGCAGUGGUGACAUCAUUACUUCUGCACUGUAUUGUGUGAAACUCUCCGGAAGGGAGACUAGGAAUCUGGAACAGGAUUUUCUUCAUUGUGGCAAAGAUGGAUCAUGAAAGUUUGCAUGGACUGCCUGUGAGUACUAUAUGAAAAUGGACCUAACUAGGAAAUGGGGAGUUGCAAUAAAGUGCUAUCUCCUGAGCAGUUUUAUAUUUUGCCAGAAUCUAUUGUUGAGUGUAAGUUUAGAUGUGCCUAAAGGGACUAUACAUAUGCUAUACACAUAAUGUGUGUGAUAUGUGUAAUGUGUGGAACAGAUUAUGUGAUAAUUUCAUGAAAUAAAGAAGGACGGAGUAUGCAUACAAAAAUGAUUUAUUAAAGGAUAUGGUGACUGAAAGCUACUUUGUGAGAAACUGAGAUGUGAAGAGAAGCAAUAAAAAACAAGAAUUUGGGAGCUGUUGGUGUAUUUAACAAUAUGCACAUAUGUCUAAAGCCUUCAAGUAUUCAUGUUGCGUUAACAAAUGCCAAAACUGCCAUACAAUUUGCUUGGUUAGCUUUGAAUUCAGGACUACUGGUGCAUGUGAUAGAGGGGGAGGUAAGGAGAGAAAGAAACCCUUAACUGGUACCUGUCAAAAUUUUGCUUGUAUAGCCACCUAUGG